rnacentral:rRNA from 1 species
GACAGAGGGUGCAAACGUUGCUCGGAAUCACUGGGCGUAAAGGGCGUGUAGGCGGGAAGGAAAGUCGGGCGUGAAAUCCCUGGGCUCAACCCAGGAACUGCACUCGAAACUUCUUUUCUUGAGUGCCGGAGAGGAAAGCGGAAAUUCCUGGUGUAGAGGUGAAAUUCGUAGAUAUCAGGAGGAACACCAGUGGCGAAGGCGGCGACCUGGACGGACACUGACGCUGAGA